UCGGACCGAUCUCUUAGGGGACUCGCGUUUUCACACAACACCCUUUUAAAAAGUGUAGAAUGACCUCAUUUAUGCGAUCAAUACAACUUUCAACAACGGAUCUCUUGGCUCUCGCAUCGAUGAAGAACGCAGCGAAAUGCGAUACGUAAUGUGAAUUGCAGAAUUCAGUGAAUCAUCGAAUCUUUGAACGCACCUUGCGCCCCUUGGUAUUCCGAGGGGCACACCCGUUUGAGCGUCGUGAAAUUCUCAACCUCCUCGGUUUCUUCUGGAGACUGAAGGAGGCUUGGACUUUGUUUUUCUUUGCUGGCGUGUCUCGCCAGCUCCUCUUAAAUGAAUUAGCGUGGUCCUCUUUGCCGAACCUCGACACGUGAUAAGAUGCUUCCGUGUCUCGGUUUCUGGCUCUGUUGCUUUUGGGACCCGCUUCUAACCGUCUGGACCUUGCGUCGAGACAAUGUUCGAGCUCGUAUCCCUUCUUGGGAAACCCCCUCGACCCCACGAACCCUUGGCCUCAAAUCGGGUGAGACUACCCGCUGAACUUAAGCAUAUCAAU
rnacentral:misc_RNA from 1 species